rnacentral:rRNA from 1 species
UAGGGAAUCUUCCGCAAUGGACGCAAGUCUGACGGAGCAACGCCGCGUGAGUGAAGAAGGAUUUCGGUUCGUAAAACUCUGUUGUUAGAGAAGAACAGCGCAUAGAGUAACUGUUAUGCGUGUGACGGUAUCUAACCAGAAAGCCACGGCUAACUACGUGCCAGCAGCCGCGGUAAUACGUAGGUGGCAAGCGUUGUCCGGAUUUAUUGGCGUAAAGCGAGCGCAGGCGGUCAAUUAAGUCUGAUGUGAAAGCCCCCGGCUCAACCGGGGAGGGUCAUUGGAAACUGGUUGACUUGAGUGCAGAAGAGGAGAGUGGAAUUCCAUGUGUAACGGUGAAAUGCGUAGAUAUAUGGAGGAACACCAGUGGCGAAGGCGACUCUCUGGUCUGUAACUGACGCUGAGGUUCGAAAGCGUGGGUAGCAAACAGG